rnacentral:piRNA from 1 species
UCACCCUUGGCAGACAGUGAACAUCACGGC